rnacentral:rRNA from 1 species
CACGUAGGGUGCGAGCGUUGUCCGGAAUUAUUGGGCGUAAAGAGCUCGUAGGCGGUGUGUCGCGUCGGCCGUGAAAACCUGCAGCUUAACUGUGGGCUUGCGGUCGAUACGGGCAUCACUGGAGUUCGGCAGGGGGAGACUGGAAUUCCUGGUGUAGCGGUGAAAUGCGCAGAUAAUCAGGAGGAACACCGGUGGCGAAGGCGGGUCUCUGGGCCGAUACUGACGCUGAGGAGCGAAAGCGUGGGGAGCGAACAGG